AUGUGAAAAAAUACUAACGGAUCCAAGACUGAAAAUUAACAUAACAAGGUGACUGGGGAAUUAAGGACUUAUUACCCCCAACUGUUGGGAGUGCUGCUGGCAGACAGCCCUCAGCAGGCAGCGCUGCUUCAGGAGGAGCUUUGGCUGAGGAAAGCUGCUUCCCCCAAGGUCACCCCUCUUUCCCAGUGUGGCCCCCAUUCAAGGACAGUUUCAAGCAGGACUACAAAGGCCCAGCCCUCAACUCAUUCAGACAGCUAUGAAGAGUCAUCCAUUUUCGGAACUUCCCAUCAGAUUAGGCCACCAGUGAAAAGAAUGUAAGGUCAUAUAGCCUGUACCAUUUCAGGGAGGCAUUGUCUAACCUGGAGGCACGCGUUCGCCAUCUUGGCCACGCUGGUCGCCAGCUCCUCACGCCGAGUGCUCUGCCUGCCUCAGCCUCCCGAGCUACUGGAACUACAGACGGAGUCUCGCUCACCCAGUGCUCGGUGUUGCCCAGGCUGGAGUGUGGUGGCGUGGUCUGGCCUCGCGGCAGCCUCCACCCCCCAGCCGCCUGCCUUGGCCUACCAGGGUGCUGGGAUUGCAGCCCCUGCCCGGCCGCCGCCCCAUCUGGGAGGUGGGGAGCGCCUCUGCCCGGCCGCCCCGUCCGGGAAGAAGUGAGGAGCGCCUCUGCCCGGCCGCCCCGUCCGGGAAGAA